rnacentral:rRNA from 1 species
GACGAACGCUGGCGGCGUGCUUAACACAUGCAAGUCGAACGGAAAGGCCCUGCUUUUGUGGGGUGCUCGAGUGGCGAACGGGUGAGUAACACGUGAGUAACCUGCCCUUGGCUUUGGGAUAACUUCAGGAAACUGGGGCUAAUACCGGAUAGGAGCUCCUGCUGCAUGGUGGGGGUUGGAAAGUUUCGGCGGUUGGGGACGGACUCGCGGCUUAUCAGCUUGUUGGUGGGGUAGUGGCUUACCAAGGCUUUGACGGGUAGCCGGCCUGAGAGGGUGACCGGCCACAUUGGGACUGAGAUACGGCCCAGACUCCUACGGGAGGCAGCAGUGGGGAAUAUUGCACAAUGGGCGGAAGCCUGAUGCAGCAACGCCGCGUGCGGGAUGACGGCCUUCGGGUUGUAAACCGCUUUCGCCUGUGACGAAGCGUGAGUGACGGUAAUGGGUAAAGAAGCACCGGCUAACUACGUG